rnacentral:lncRNA from 1 species
GUCAGCGAAGUUCUAUAUGAAGUGAGAAAGAUAUACAAAAAUCUGUUAAAGGUUGUAAUUUUCAAUGGCAUUGAAACCAGAGAAGUUAGAGUAGUAAAAUAUCCUUUCCAAAUUUAUGAAGUCAAUAUUUUUGAAGAAGAAGACUAUAUUACAUUGUGUGAUAUAGAUAAAGAAGAGCUUCCAAAAGAUUUUAAUUUCAAAGAAUAUCAAGAAAAAAGUCUAUUAGAAGUCUGCUGGAGAGCUCAAGAGAAGAAGACUCAAUGAUGCUGGUCUGAUGGAAGAAUCUGGGUAACUACUAUACUCUUUGUAAACAUUGAAGUAGUAGGAGCUUGGAGAAAGACAUGGAAUUCUUUAUUAAAUGAAAAAAAUUAUCCAGAAGAGAUACAAUGCAGAAUAAGAUAAAUUAAACAAUCUCUAGAACAUUCAGACCCUCAAUCAAGCA